GACUCUAACAGAAACUCUGGUCAGAGCUCAGAAAAUACUGUGUAUAUCCUUUUAAAAUGGCAUGAACACAUUCAGAAAAGCCCGCUUCCCGUCGCUGCUCAUUUUCAGCUUUGAACUGUGUGAAACGGUGUCUUCUCACAGCAUCUCAUUUUCUAGUCGCUCUCCCCAGUCUGCUCACUAAUUAGCCCAUCUCAGUGCCUGUGUGUGUGUUUCACUGCGUGGAACUCGCUAAACAAGCGCAUCGUCUGAAACCAUUCAUCUCUGCUCUCCCAAGCUGCUGCCAUGGCAACCGUGUAUGACUGGCACAAAACAGACUGCGGUGUCUGAGCUCAGGGCGAACCUGAAGAGCCGAAAAACGCUCCUGGGCAGACAAAGAGUGGAGAUAUGGAGACACCAGGACGACCAGAGACCGUGAGUGCUUUGUCUCUACAGGCUCAUGAUGCAGAACAGGGAAUACAAACCCCUGUUUUUCUCCAGAAACAAAUAUCUGCAAGAGAAAUGGAAGAAGGCGUAUGAUGUACACAGGAGACAGGUUAAGUCAGUGAAACCAACAAUAUGCAUAAAGCCACCGAAGAAAUUUGUUCACCUGACUCUCAGUCUGAAGAACAAACAGCACCAAGUGAACGCGAAGAUACAGAAGGAAAACGACAGGCUCAAGGAGAAAAUAUCUCAAAUUAUGGCAACAACUGGAAGAGUUGACAGCAGGAAUGACUACGAAAAGAAAAGCAUUCGCCAAGAGAAGCGACAGCGAGAGUUGAUCUCAAUUAGCAAAGAGAAUCAAAUGAUCCAGUUUCGUCUGAGCCAGUGCAAACCUCACUACAGGGCGAGGAACUGGCGAGAAGACUGGCUCAACACUCUAAAGCUGAGGGAUAGCAUCGGACAUUACCCACGAGGAAGCGCAAAACAGCAAAAGGAACAAGAAAAUUGGAUAGCAGAUUCUAAGGGAAAUGAAAAGAGGAAAGAAACCAACAACAAAGAGGAUACAGGAGGAAAGAUAGGAGAAGAGUCGGCUACACAAUUUGCCUCGAAACCAAAUGUACCUGAGGUAUCCAUCUCAGCAGACACACCUGAGAACUGUGGUCCUUCUGACAAUUAAAGUCCAGCAGAUAAACACCCUCAUUGUUCUGAUGAAAUGAUGUGUCUCAAAUGUCCAACACUCCACGCAGAAAAAAUGCAAAGAGGAAUCUCCAAACACAGUGGGAGUGUUCCCUGUUGUAACAGCAAACAGUGGUAGAAGAUUAGAAGCAUUCAGCUCCCUUUUAUUUUGGCAUCUUUAGAUUAAUAAUACUGAAGCAUCAGCACAUCAGCAGCUUACAGAGACACCAGAUGAAUGUAUGGGUGGUAGGAAUAUUAAUGGGAGAGAAGAUAAACAAAGUUCUGAUACACAAAUCUGUUUUUAAUUUUUUGACUUUUCCUCCCAUCUUUGAUUUUUGAGAGGAAAAUGAAUCAUUUGAGCUUUAAUUAAACUGAAACCAUUUGAGAAGUUUUCAAGGGAAAAAUCACAAUUUGAUCCUCAUGGUAACAACUCCUAGACAUCUCAAAUGUGACCGUAACCACACACUGUAUUUUUUAAGAUGUCAGAAGAGGGUUAAUCUUUGAUAAUGGAUUGUAUUUUAGAAGCUUGUUGAAUUAUUAAUGUAUUUUAAAGCUUGAUUAUCUAUUGUGUAAAAUCUUUAUCUUACAAGUUGCUCAACAGUCAAGAAAAUUUACUUGAGUAAAAAGUAUUAUAUUUUCCUCUGAAAUGUACUGAAGUGGAAAUUUGAAGGUGCAUAAAAUGGAAAUGCACAAGUAAAGUGCCAGUUAAUCAAAGUUUACUUCCAUACUAGACUUGUUUGAACUUUUUGAUUGGUUCAAUUGAUAACAAUAAAUAAAUAAAUAAAGGGGUCAAAUCAA